GUCCGAGUGGUGAAACUGGCAAACACAACAAACUUAAGCUUUGUAGGCAAAUUAGCCUUGAAGGUUCAAGUCCUUUCUCGGACA
rnacentral:tRNA from 1 species